CCUGGCGGCAAUAGCGCGGUGGUCCCACCUGACCCCAUGCCGAACUCAGAAGUGAAACGCCGUAGCGCCGAUGGUAGUGUGGGGUCUCCCCAUGCGAGAGUAGGACACCGCCAGGC
rnacentral:rRNA from 1 species